GUGGAGAGAGCUAGAGAGAGACUGAAGAGAGGGAGCAUGGCGUUAGAAUAAAGCAGAGAAUCAGAGAAAUAAAACACUGUUUUCUCCGUUUCAUCUCUACUAGAAAUGCAGCUGUAGCAAUAAUCUCACUAUCUAUAUCCUCAUUCAUAUUUUAAGGUGCUACAAGUGAUAUCCAGCAAC